rnacentral:rRNA from 1 species
AAAAACAUUUCUUAUAAAAAAUUAUUAUAAGUAAAAUCUGCUCCAUGUAUAAUAUAAAUAGCCGCAGAAAUUUUACUGUGCUAAGGUAGCAUAAUCAUUAGCCUUUUAAUUAAAGGCUAGAAUGAAUGAUUUAACAUUUUAAUUUCUUUUAAUAUAAAAACCUUUGAAUUUAUACUAAAUAUAAAAAUAUAUUUAUAAUUUAAAAAGACGAUAAGACCCUAUUGAACUUUACUUAAGUUUAGCUGGGGCAGCUAUUUAAAUAUAAUUUUAAUCAAAAUGCUUAAACAAAAGACCCAAUAAAAUUGAUUAUUUGAAUAAGUUACCAUAGGGAUAACAGCGUAAUAAAUUUUAAAAGAUCAUAUUAAAAAAUAAGAUUACGACCUCGAUGUUGAAUU